UACGGGGGGGGCAAGCGUUGUUCGGGAUUACUGGGCGUAAAGGGCUCGUAGGCGGCCAACUAAGUCAGACGUGAAAUCCCUCGGCUUAACCGGGGAACUGCGUCUGAUACUGGAUGGCUUGAGUUUGGGAGAGGGAUGCGGAAUUCCAGGUGUAGCGGUGAAAUGCGUAGAUAUCGGCAGGAACACCCAGGGGGAAACCAGUCGACUGGGCAUCUACUGACGCUGAGGUGCGAGAGCGUGGGGAGCGAACCGG
rnacentral:rRNA from 1 species